UAUAAAUAGACCACUGACAUUUCCUAUUGUACAAUAGACAUUAAUUAUUUAAUCUGCAAUUAUCUUGAUGAUACUGCUCUGUAAAGUGUUACAACCUGACAAUAAUCAGACCUGUCUGUUUCUGUAUAAUAUACCCACAGAUCUUACAAACCGGUUUGUCCUAAGUUAAAAACUCUUCUUGUAUGUUUCAAAGUUGAACACAG